rnacentral:sRNA from 1 species
CGCCCCCGGAAGGGCAGCGGCGGGCGCCUGUGUGGAAGGUGGGGUGGCCAGAGCCACCCGAGGGACCUGAGCUGGAUCGCCAUACCUACCCUGCGGUCCUCAUCUUCCUGGCCCCAUAGCUCCUCCUCUCCAAGCAUGUCUUCCCCAUUGCAAAGAGCUGUGGGAGAUACCAAGAGGGCCUUGUCUGCAUCUUCUAGUUCCUCUGCCGGUCUACCCUUUGAUGACAGGGACUCAAACCAUACCUCAGAGGGGAAUGGUGACUCUUUGUUAGCUGAUGAAGGCAGUGACUUUGAAGACAGCUUGAAUCGCAAUGUGAAGAAGAGAGCAGCAAAACGACCACCGAAAACAACGCCGGUGGCAAAACAUCCAAAGAAAGGGUACCGAGUGGUACAUCGUCAUAGCCGGAAAAAGUCAGAGCCACCAGCCAAUGAUCUUUUCAAUGCUGUGAAAGCCGCCAAAAGUGACAUGCAGUCUUUGGUAGAUGAGUGGCUGGAUAGCUACAAGCAAGACCAGGAUACAGGAUUUCUGGAGCUUGUUAACUUUUUCAUCCAAUCUUGCGGAUGUAAAGGCACUGUGACCCCUGAGAUGUUCAAGAAGAUGUCCAACUCAGAGAUCAUCCAGCACCUAACAGAGCAGUUUAAUGAGGUGGAAGAAGACGACCAGGAUCCUCUUACCCCUCUUAUUUCAAAACACAAUGCCUAUUAUCCCCUUCUUUUUGAUUCUGUGAAAUAGGGUAGCUUUUAGAAGGAGGAAUUCAGUCUCUUGGGGGUCAAAGAGACCUGAAUAUGCCUCUCAAAUUGGGGAGAAUACCAGGAAAUGAGAUAUAACAGAUAUUUUUACUAGACUGUUGGGUUUUGACAUCCAAGCCCCUAUGACUUCAUGGACCUGGUAAUAACUUUCCCAUCCUUUUCAUACAUCCUUUUGUAGGACUCGGGGGACUAUCCUCUGACAGCUCCAGGUCCAUCCUGGAAGAAGUUCCAGGGCAGCUUCUGUGAAUUUGUGAGGACAUUGGUCUGUCAGUGCCAGUACAGCCUCCUCUAUGAUGGCUUCCCUAUGGACAACCUCAUCUCCCUGCUCACUGGCCUCUCAGACUCACAAGUCCGCGCCUUCCGUCACACUAGCACCCUGGCUGCUAUGAAACUGAUGACUUCCCUGGUAAAAGUUGCCCUCCAACUGAGUCUGCACCAAGAUAACAAUCAGCGUCAGUAUGAGGCUGAAAGAAACAAGGGGCCAGGGCAGAGGGCACCUGAGCGGCUGGAGAGCCUGUUGGAGAAACGCAAAGAGCUCCAAGAGCAUCAAGAGGAGAUUGAGGGGAUGAUGAAUGCCCUCUUCAGGGGUGUCUUUGUUCAUCGGUACAGGGAUGUCCUUCCUGAGAUCCGUGCUAUCUGCAUUGAGGAAAUUGGGUGUUGGAUGCAAAGCUACAGCACUUCUUUCCUCACCGACAGCUAUUUAAAAUAUAUUGGUUGGACUCUGCAUGAUAAGCACCGAGAAGUCCGCCUGAAGUGCGUGAAGGCCCUGAAAGGGCUGUACGGUAACCGGGACCUGACCGCACGCCUGGAGCUCUUCACCAGCCGCUUCAAGGACCGGAUGGUUUCCAUGGUCAUGGACAGAGAGUAUGAUGUGGCAGUGGAGGCUGUCAGAUUACUGAUACUUAUCCUUAAGAACAUGGAAGGGGUGCUGACGGACGCGGACUGUGAGAGCGUCUACCCUGUUGUGUAUGCCUCUAAUCGAGGCCUGGCCUCUGCUGCAGGCGAAUUUCUGUACUGGAAACUCUUCUACCCUGAGUGUGAGAUAAGAAUGAUGGGUGGAAGAGAGCGACGCCAGAGCCCAGGCGCCCAGAGGACUUUCUUCCAGCUUCUGCUGUCCUUCUUUGUGGAGAGCGAGCUCCAUGACCACGCUGCUUACUUAGUAGACAGUCUUUGGGACUGUGCAGGAGCUCAGCUGAAGGACUGGGAGAGUCUGACAAGCCUGCUGCUGGAGAAGGACCAGAACCUGGGUGAUGUGCAGGAGAGCACACUGAUAGAAAUCCUUGUGUCCAGUGCCCGGCAAGCUUCAGAGGGGCACCCGCCUGUGGGCCGGGUCACUGGGAGGAAGGGCUUAACCUCUAAGGAGCGCAAGACCCAAGCCGAUGACAGGGUGAAGUUGACUGAGCACCUCAUCCCUCUGCUGCCCCAGCUCCUGGCCAAGUUCUCAGCUGAUGCAGAGAAGGUCACUCCCCUGCUCCAGCUUCUCAGCUGCUUUGACCUCCACAUCUACUGCACUGGGCGCUUGGAGAAGCACCUGGAGCUGUUCCUGCAGCAACUCCAGGAGGUGGUGGUGAAGCAUGCAGAGCCGGCAGUGCUUGAGGCUGGGGCGCAUGCCCUCUACCUGCUCUGUAAUCCCGAAUUCACUUUCUUCAGCCGGGCAGACUUUGCCCGCAGCCAGCUAGUAGAUUUGCUGACUGACCGCUUCCAGCAGGAGCUUGAAGAGCUGUUACAGUCAUCCUUCCUAGAUGAGGAUGAGGUAUAUAAUCUGGCAGCCACUCUGAAACGCCUCUCUGCCUUCUACAACGCUCAUGACCUGACUCGCUGGGAGCUCUAUGAGCCAUGUUGCCAACUCCUGCAGAAGGCUGUGGACACAGGAGAGGUACCUCACCAGGUUAUCCUGCCAGCCUUGACUCUUGUCUAUUUUUCCAUUCUCUGGACACUAACCCACUCCCUCAACCCUGUGGAGAACACAGCAGAGACCAGCCCUCAGGUCCUCCCCAGCUCCAAGAGGAGGCGUGUUGAAGGGCCUGCCAAGCCUAACAGAGAGGACGUCUCCUCGUCCCAGGAAGAAAGUCUGCAGCUGAACAGCAUCCUGCCCACGCCCACCCUCACCUCCACAGCCAUGAAGAGCAGGCAGCCCUUGUGGGGGUUGAAAGAGAUGGAGGAAGAAGAUGGCUCAGAGUUGGAUUUUGCCCAGGGCAGUCAGCCCCUCGCAGGCACCCAGAGGUCAAGAUUCUCGGGUCCACAGUAUUUCCAGACUCCACGCAACCCUUCAGGUCCUGGUCUGGGCAACCAGCUGAUGCGACUCAGCCUUAUGGAAGAGGAUGAGGAAGAAGAGUUAGAAAUUCAGGAUGAGUCAAUUGAAGAACGGCAGGAUACAGACAUGCAAGCAAGUAGCUACUCUUCCCCCAGUGAGCGCGGGCUGGACCUCUUAGAUUCUACAGAGCUGGAUAUUGAGGAUUUCUGACAGGACUCUGGGCCCCUCCCCAGCUCCACUCCCUACCUCAAGAAUGUGACCAUUUGGAAAAGGCAAAGAGAAAAGGAGCACAAUGAAGCAUUCCCCCAGGCUUCAGCCCUGGGCUCUGAGGGGAAAGAGUUGGGCAUUGUUUUUCUAACCUAACCUUUCCCUCCGGUGAUGUUGGGGUAGAGAAGCCGAGAGACCCCGUCCUCCCUAAUGCACUGUGGCCCAGUCCCCCUGCCUUUUUCCUGUUCUGUUUGGAGUGGAGAGGGGCAGCACUUCUCUGUGUUUAAUGGAAACAGCCUGUAGUUUCCUGGAUUUUUGGAACAUCUUUCUCAGCCUAUUUUGUGUCCUAAUGAUUCGCUCAAUAAACAUGUUUGAAUCCACACGUU